UACGAAGGGGGCUAGCGUUGUUCGGGAUUACUGGGCGUAAAGCGUGCGCAGGCGGCUUCUCAAGUCAGGGGUGAAAGCCCAGAGCUCAACUCUGGAAUUGCCUUUGAGACUGAGAGGCUUGAGUACGGGAGAGGUGAGUGGAAUUCCCGGUGUAGAGGUGAAAUUCGUAGAUAUUGGGAAGAACACCGGUGGCGAAGGCGGCUCACUGGCCCGAAACUGACGCUCAUGCACGACAGCGUGGGGAUCAAACAGG
rnacentral:rRNA from 1 species